UGAUGGGUAGGCAAAUCCGCCCGUCAUAUACCGAGGCCAAUGAUCGAGCCAGCUUGCUGGUGAAGUGACUGAACGAGGUUCCAGGAAAAGCCACUAAGCUUCAGCUACACACGACCGUACCGCAAACCGACACUGGUGCGCGAGAUGAGUAUUCUAAGGCGCUUGAGAGAACUCAGGAGAAGGAACUCGGCAAAUUGACACCGUAACUUCGGAAGAAGGUGUGCCCUAGUAGUGUGAAGUGAACAACGGAGCAUGAAUGGGUUGCAAAAAAUCGGUGGCUGCGACUGUUUAUUAAAAACACAGCACUCUGCAAACACGAAAGUGGACGUAUAGGGUGUGACGCCUGCCCCUGCUGGAAGAUUAAAUGAUGGGGUGCAAGCUCUUGAUUGAAGUCCCAGUAAACGGCGGCCGUAACAAUAACGGUCCUAAGGUAGCGAAAUUCCUUGUCGGGUAAGUUCCGACCUGCACGAAUGGCGUAACGAUGGCCACACUGUCUCCUCCUGAGACUCAGCGAAGUUGAAAUGUUUGUGAUGAUGCAAUCUCCCCGCGGAAAGACGGAAAGACCCCAUGAACCUUUACUGUAGCUUUGUAUUGGACUUUGAACAGAUCUGUGUAGGAUAGGUGGGAGGCUUUGAAGCAGGGUCGCUAGAUCUUGUGGAGCCAACGUUGAAAUACCACCCUGGUGUGUUUGAGGUUCUAACCUAGGUCCAUUAUCUGGAUCGGGGACAGUGCAUGGUAGGCAGUUUGACUGGGGCGGUCUCCUCCCAAAGCGUAACGGAGGAGUUCGAAGGUACGCUAGUUACGGUCGGACAUCGUGACGAUAGUGCAAUGGCAUAAGCGUGCUUAACUGCGAGACUGACAAGUCGAGCAGAUGCGAAAGCAGGACAUAGUGAUCCGGUGGUUCUGUAUGGAAGGGCCAUCGCUCAACGGAUAAAAGGUACUCUGGGGAUAACAGGCUGAUACCGCCCAAGAGUUCAUAUCGACGGCGGUGUUUGGCACCUCGAUGUCGGCUCAUCUCAUCCUGGGGCUGUAGCCGGUCCCAAGGGUAUGGCUGUUCGCCAUUUAAAGAGGUACGUGAGCUGGGUUUAAAACGUCGUGAGACAGUUUGGUCCCUAUCUUCCGUGGGCGCUGCAGAUUUGAGGAAGCCUGCUCCUAGUACGAGAGGACCGGAGUGGACACACCUCUGGUGUAUCGGUUGUCACGCCAGUGGCAUUGCCGAGUAGCUAAGUGUGGAAGAGAUAACCGCUGAAAGCAUCUAAGCGGGAAACUCGUUUCAAGAUGAGAUCUGCCGGGGCCUUGAGCCCCCUGAAGAGUCGUUCAAGACCAGGACGUUGAUAGGUCAGGUGUGGAAGCGCAGUAAUGCGUUAAGCUAACUGAUACUAAUUGCUCGUGCGGCUUGACCCC
rnacentral:rRNA from 1 species